rnacentral:lncRNA from 1 species
UUUGAGCCAAAAUAUAGAAAAGAAAAAUUUAUUGCAAAAGCUUUUUGGUGAGUGGAGGUUUCUUCAAAUUAGCUAAAACAAAAGCUCACUUUUGCAAGUGUAAUAAUACUAAGCAAGAAUAGUAAAUUAAAAUUAUAUUUGGAUACCAGGUAUAUUAAUUUUGAAUGUUUGCUUUUAAUUUUUUACUUGAAAUUAUUAAAGGAUUCCUAAUACUAACAGACUAAUUUUUAUUUUCAAAGCCAUUUAUCAUAUAUUUAUCAGUGACACAUUAGUUUUCUUCUCAUUUUAGCCCAUUUGAUAUUGGUAUGUCUGAAGAACUUUUCUUUUUUAUCACCUGAAAAUCUUGUCAAUGACUCUUACUAAUAAUCAUCUCUAUUUUCAUAUUGACAAUAUACUGUUAGUAUACUAAGCUAUAAGAUUAACCAUAGCUAUUAGAAUAGGGGUUUUUGGCAUGAGCUAACAUUCUGUUAAGAGUCUUUUUAUUUUAAUCAUAGAUUAUGAUUUAUUGUGUAUUUUUGUAAGUAUUGAUAAAGACUUUAAGAUUUUUACUUUGGCACAGCAAGAAGUAUACUUAAGAUAUUUGUAAGUGAAUUUGUGGUUUAAAUUUUUGAACAUAUAGAUACUAUUGGCUUAUUUGCAUUUUGAAAGGGAAGAAUAGUUCUGUCAAAAUUGCUGUUUUCAGGGGGAAAUUUUUAAUUUUUGAAUUUUACAAUGAGUAAAGAAAACUGGAAAUUUUUUAAGGAAAAAUAUAAAAUUAACACAGUCAUAUGAUCUCAUAGAUUGCCUAGAAUACACCAAAGAUUCCAUCUUUGUUUUGUAACAAAUACCUGUACAGACAAGUGAUUAAGAUGUUUAGAUUUUGUUUGCAUAAAAAGUUGAAUGUCUGUUAUUAUUAUUUUUCUAUACUUUAAAAUAAUAAACUUAAGUAGCUCACUAGCUCACUUUCAGAACUGAUCAUUUCAGGACACUGUCUUUAUAUAUACCUUAUAAUGGAAAGUUUAGGUCCAUAAGUUUGUAACACAGCUCCUAUAAGUUAAAUAGGAUAAGCCUAGAAGAUAAGCUAUCAUGUAGUGCAGAACACUAACAGUCCAUACAUACGCUAUGAAAUGACAUCAGAGAUGUUAUUGUAUGCAUUUUUAAAACUAAAAUACAUGAAUCUGCAAUUUAAAUGGAGUUUACGCUGUUACUUUUUUCUACUUUCUUAGCAAUUUUUCCUAAUUAAAAUGUAUUUACUCAAAAACUUGUUACUUAUAACAAGCCAAAGUUUGACACAGUGUUUUCCCUUUUUAUUUACAAAGUAUCAUGUAUUUGCUUUUUUGUAGAAGGCCCUCUCCUCAUUACUUAUUAGCUCUUAAGUUGUUUCACCUUUUUACUAAUGCCCAGGUAAGACAUUCAUCCAUCUAUAUUAUAUAGUCAAUAUUUAUAUUGACAACAAAAAUAUAUUGAUAGUUUUGUGCCUGGCACAGAUCGGGCUAAGGGAGCCUGAGUAUAAAGAAUUAUAUAAAUAACCAACAACCAUUUUUGAAGAUCAGUGUUUUCCAAGAAAAAAAUUCUGUAGUAAAAUAUUAUCGGGUGCUGGGGAUAUAACUCAGUUGGUAGAGUGCUUGCCUCACAUGCACAAGGGCCCUGGGUUCAAUCCCCAGCACCACAAAAUAAAUAGACAAAUAAAUAGAUAAAUAGACAAAUAAAUAGAUAAAUAACAAAAACAAUAGUGUUAGAUACAGUAGAUUAAAUAAAGUUAGGCAGACAUCUUUGCUGCUGAACUUGAGGGCCUCUAAGAUGCUCUUAGAUACCUUGAUAGGGUGAGUUAAGAUUUGUCAUAUUCACCAGUCUUUUCUAGAAUAAGUCACCAUUUCUUAGAAACUUCUGGUUUUCAGAGCACAGUUUGCAAAAUGCCACUAAGCAGCAUUAUAUGGCAUAACAUGAAAGGUAUUCACUAGUAUAGCUUUUAACAAACUUGCUAAAGUUAUGAAUUGUAGUUUAUUUCUAAUAGAAAUGUUUUGUUAUUUAAGAAGAUUUGAAAGUUGACUAAUACUUUGGUCAUGUGAUUUAAAACAUUUGUUUAAUAUAUGUUUCAUUUUGUUAAACUUUUUUAGUGGAAGUUAUAUUUCUGUGAUGUGUUAUAUAGGAUAUUUUUAAGUUGUUGCUAAGAUUACAACAAAAUUCAGGGAAUUUUCAAUACUAAUAGAAAUCCUGGCACACCAUUUUUCUUGAGAUGUUUUAGCUGACAGGUAACUCAGUGAAGAAUUGACAUAGUUGAAGCUCUGAUAGCUUUUAAACAUGUUUAGAAGUCCUAAAAGCAAUGCCACCUGAUGAAACCCAAAAUAAAAUAAAUACUUCUAAGUCUUUAAAAACAGACAUAUUUGAAAAACUGAAAGACCUCAAUGUUAAUGUACCUAGCAUAUGUUGUCCUCAUUGUCAUCAGUGUGUUUUUGACUAUGUAUGAUUACACAGAAAAGAGAAACACUAUUGUAAUGUUAGAGGACUGUUCUGCCUCUGUUUGUCAAAAUGUCUUCUGCUUUCCAAUUUAUGUGCACUCUUUGCUAGAAUCAUGGGUAUCAUUUCCUACUUUAGGUGCAUCCGUUUUACCAAGGCCUGGAGUAGAAAGGACUUCCGGAGCAUCAUUAGACUUUUCCUCAGUGCUUUCAGUUCUGCCAUACCUCUAGCAGCUACUAGCUUUAGUUUUAACUUUGUAAUCUUAAAUCUUUCCCCCAUACAACCAAUUAGUCUGUUUUUAAAGUAUUUCAAUUAAAAUACCAAAUGAUAAAGAAGGUGGAUUUUUUAAAUCUAGUGGUACACUGAUAAAUAUUUAACCAAUUUUGUGGGAGGAAAAAGCCCUGAUUUGUAUUGCUUUCCAGUUUUUACUAUGUAAAUUCUCCAACCAUAGCUGAUUUCAGGCCAUCAAUGUGAAGUCAUUUAAUGCUGAAUUGGGAUGAGAUUCACACACUUUGCUGUUUUGAGUUGGUAUGAACUAGCUUUAAGCCAUCACUUCCAGAUGAAGUUAUUAAACAUUGGCCUCAUAGUUUCUUAAAAAAAAGCCCACAAGUAGUAUUUAUCAGUAGUCAGAGUCAAGUAGUAAGUAGUGCUUGAAGAUCUAUGAAAUUCCUCUUUGCAAUUGGAUACAUUGUAAGAAUAAAAAGAAAUUUUUCUAACAUAUUCAAUAAUCACAAAUAGGAAAAUAAGGAAUAUUAAGAAGAAAAUCUCUGAAAAACUUAUAAGGAAAGGCAAAUUAUUUUUUGCUGAUGUAAAUCUGACAUAAAUCAUGUAAGCUGAUAUAGCAUUGAAUGUUUGUGGUCUUAUAAUUUUUUAAAAAAAUUCUCCUAUAUUUCCAUGGACUUUGAAAAUUAUAUCCCCAGAUAAAUUGUGACAUUUCCUUCCUGCAUGUUGGUGAAAUUUUACAUUAUGAAAUUGUCACAUAAAUUCAUUAUACCCAUUUUUCAAACACAAAUGACCAUAACUCAAAUGCAUACCUAUCAUAUACCAUGCUCAAAACUACAUAAAAGUAUUCUAUCAUUAAUGUACUUUAGGAACAUUGAUAAGGUAUUUACCUAUUUUCAUAAGAAAAAUGCUUGGUCUGGGAAUCUCAAAAUAUUUACUUUGGAUAUCUUUUUACUUAAGGUAUCAGAUUUUUGGCCUAGAUUUAGGUCCAUGUAUAUAUUAUCUUUUCUCAGGCUACAGUGAAUUCAGUGAUGUUCAGCAAUACGAUUUUCUCAUGUGGCUUACUGGCUCCUGUGAAUUGGUUGCUGUGGCUGCACUGCAGGGGUGGUCCAGGUUCACUCCAGCCAGGGCCUAGUCUGUACAUGAAGACUCUAUGUGGCCUAUACCCUUCUGUGGCAAAGGCUCUGAAGCAAGAGGAGUGGCAGAAAUAUGAAAGUGUUCCAAGUGGAUACAGUGCUCAAGUCUACUCAAAUUCUGUUGGCCAGAGAUUAUGUGGUCUAGUCAUUGACAGCAGAGCUUCUCUUCCUGUCAUUGUAAGUAACAUCAAAAGGUUUUGGGAACCUUUAAUUCUAGUCAAUAACACCUCAAGUACAAUAGUCUCCUACAAAUAUUUGAGCUCAUUAUAAGUAGCCAAAAUAUGUCUAAAUAAUAUGAAAGGAAAUAACAUCUUAUUUUUUUUAAUUACUGUAUGCUAACUGUGUGGGUUUAAGUUCUGAAUUUCUAGAAAGAUCAUCAUUCUUUGAAUUUUUGGGUGGUGGUGGGGGGGGAGAUUCUCCCAAAUAUCAGUAUCACCUAAUUCUGUAGGAAAUAAGCUUAAGUAGUAGAAAUGUCCCUGGGUCAUUGAUAGUACAGCAAUGGAAAUGAUAGGAGGAUAGAAGGAAAGCAAAAGUCACAAAAAAGUCUGGACUCUGCUACUUCUCAGCUGUUAUUUAACUUUGAGUUUCAAUUUCCUCAGAAGUUCUGUAAGUUUUCUAAGGUCAUUCUUACUAUAAAGCUCCAUUCUAAUGCUGUUUUAUUGUCAUAUCCUCCAAUUUUUAUUAUAGUUUAACUCACUGUUUUUCUUAGACUUUAGAAUAGAGUAAUGCAACUUUAGUUUUCCUUAAUUCGUAUCCCAUCUUAAUUAUUACAGGAUUUGAGAUAAGUAGUAUAUGAUCCUCCUUUGUUUUUAAUCUUAAUAUUGAACCUAGUUAGGCUUUAAAACAUUCAAAUCACUAAAAUGCUCUUUUGGUACUCAUGAAGUUUGCUUACAUCAUUAUAUGUAAGAACAACCUGGGAUAUUUUUUAAAAUGUAAAUUUCUAUCCCCAACCCUUGGAUAGUCUGAUACUAGAUAGAACCCUCAAAACUACAUUUUAAACAAAUACCCCAGAUGUCCAAAGUAGUCUAAGCUAUACAAACCCUAUAUGUUAUUUGGGUAAUAAUGAGAAAAAAAAUGCUAGAUGCUACAUAUCUUUAUUUGGACUUUAUAUUUUGUUUUCAUGAAUUUAUUUUUGCCACCACAUUUAGUGCAUCAGGCCUCUAUAAGUGAUGAAAUUUUGAUUAUUUAUGAUAUGGUUAGGAUAAGUGUCCUCCAAAAGAUCAUAUGUUUUACGGUUGUUUCCUAGGACUGCACCAUUUGGAAGUAAUUAAUCUUAAGAAUUGGGGUUUUGCUGAGUACAGUAGUACAUACCUCUAAUCCCAGCUACUUGGGGGGCUGAGACAGGAGGAUUGCAAAUUUAAGGCCAGCCUGGGCAGCUUUUUGAGACAAUGUCUCAAAAUAAAAUUUUCAAAAGGGCUUGGGAUGUAGCUCAGUGGGAGAGUGCUCCUGGAUUUAAUCCCAAAUAUGUAUCAUAAAAAGGUCUCAAGAUCAUUGGGCACAUGCCCUUCAAGAAUACUAUGGGACUCCAACCCUUUUAUUCUUCCUGUCUUCUAUUUCCUAGCUAUUAGGUAAAUGGUUUUGCUCCUUCCUUUUCUCCCACCAUGAUGUCCUGUCUCACCAUAGGCUCAAAGCUAUGGUGCCAAUCAGUCAUAUACUGGAACUUCCAAAGGAAGGAGAAAAAAAUAAACCUUUUCUCUUAAUCUCAGGUAUUUGUGUCAGUGAUGGAAAGCUGAUUAACACAAAUAUAAAAUUCAGAAGUAUGGGAACCAAAAUAACUUGUUACUUUGAAGUGAACGUGCUUUGAUUAGUAUUCACAUCCUCCCAGUGCACACAACAGAUGAUCAACCUCAGGAUGAACUACUACAAAAUAACAAUUAUUGUUGGAUUAUUACAUCCAGUCUCUCUGCUGCUUCCCCUGUAUCCUUAAAACCUAAUCUCUACAGCUAUUGUGCUCCUUUUUUAAGUAAUCAGAUAAUGUUGCUUAUAUGCUUAAAAUCCUUCAGAAUAAAAGUGAAGGUCCUUACCCUGGCUACUUGUAGGAUCUUACACCCUACCCUCUCACCUCUUCCACAACACAUCCUGCACACACACAUACCUCAGCUCUCUGCACCAGGAGGACCCUUGCUAGGAUGCACUUCUCCAUAUAUCCUCACUACUCCAACUCUCUCUUUCAAGUCUCUUUAAAUAUUGCCUAUGCUGAGAAGCCCAUAUUGACCUUUCAAAAUGAAAUAGCAUAUUCCCUUCCCCCAUUAAUCACUAUCCCUUGUAACCUGCCAUAUUUUAUACUAUUUAUGAUUAUUUGAUAUAUUGUGUAUUCAUAUGUAUCUACUGCUCUAUAAUUUUAAACACUGCAAGCACAAAGACUUUGUUUUGUACAUUACUGCCAAGGCUUAGAUUAGUACCUGGCACAUAGUAGAUACUCAAUAAAUUACAUAUAAGAGGUUAUGAGGGGAAUGGGAAAAAAAACAAGGAGAGAAAUGAAUUACAGUAGAUGGGGUAGAGAGAGAAGAUGGAAGGGGAGGGGAUGGGGGGAUAGUAGAGGAUAGGAAAGGUAGUAGAAUACAACAGUUACUAAUAUGGCAUUAUGUAAAAAUGUGGAUGUGUAACCGAUGUGAUUCUGCAAUCUGUAUUUGGGGUAAAAAUGGGAGUUCAUAACGCACUUGAAUCUAAUGUAUGAAAUAUGAUAUGUCAAGAGUUUUGUAAUGUUUUGAACAACCAAUAAAAAAAAAGUCAAUUCCCCUUGGAUCUUAUUGGUUCUUACACCAUUUUAUAGCCAGUAAACAUAUCCUAAAUUAUUAUGUAAGAGUCUAACUAUUGUGUAACCACAGCUGGUGGCAAGUUGAUUACAUAGGCUCACUUCAUGGAAGAGGCAGCCAUUUGUUUUUUCUGGAAUACACAUUUAC